rnacentral:rRNA from 1 species
GGAAAGUUGCAAAGCACUUUGAAGAGAGAGUUAAAGAGGACGUGAAACCGAUGGGAUGGAAACGGACAGAGCUGGCGUAUCUGGUCUGCAUUCAUCCGUGUGUUCUUGGACGUUUGGAUUUCCACUCUCCAGACUGGGAUGGUGUUCAUUCUGUUCAGGGGCUCAUGGAGCAUUUGCAGGCGGAGUGCGCUGAGAUGCUCGGAGCAGCUGCAUGAGCUUGGCUUUGAGGCCAGCCCUUCGGGGUCUGGUACCCGGGCUGUGGGAGUGCUGUUUGUUCUGGGUGCUGAGUGUGUGCAAUGGCAACGGGUCCGUGUUGGUUUGAGCUGGCGGUCGGUGGCGGUCGCGUGCGACACGUGCCAGCAGUCAGUUCGGUCCUGCUCGGGCUCUCAUUGCAUGUUCUCGGUGUAAAAGCCGGUCAUCUGUCCGACCCGUCUUGAAACACGGACCAAGGAGUUUAGCGUGUGCGCGAGUCAUUGGGAGUUGAAAACCCAAGGGCGUAAUGAAAGUGAAGGUCUCCUUGCGGAGCUGAUGUGUGAUCUCGUGCACUCCGGUGUGCGGGCGCAACAUAGUCCCGUCCCGAUCGCAUGCGAUGGGGCGGAGACAGAGCGUACGCGCUGAGACCCGAAAGAUGGUGAACUAUUCCUGAGCAGGAUGAAGCCAGAGGAAACUCUGGUGGAAGUCCGAAGCGAUUCUGACGUGCAAAUCGAUCGUCUGA